GAUGAACGCUGGCGGCGUGCCUAAUACAUGCAAGUCGAGCGAACGGACGAGAAGCUUGCUUCUCUGAUGUUAGCGGCGGACGGGUGAGUAACACGUGGAUAACCUACCUAUAAGACUGGGAUAACUUCGGGAAACCGUAGCUAAUACCGGAUAAUAUUUUGAACCGCAUGGUUCAAAAGUGAAAGACGGUCUUGCUGUCACUUAUAGAUGGAUCCGCGCUGCAUUAGCUAGUUGGUAAGGUAACGGCUUACCAAGGCAACGAUGCAUAGCCGACCUGAGAGGGUGAUCGGCCACACUGGAACUGAGACACGGUCCAGACUCCUACGGGAGGCAGCAGUAGGGAAUCUUCCGCAAUGGGCGAAAGCCUGACGGAGCAACGCCGCGUGAGUGAUGAAGGUCUUCGGAUCGUAAAACUCUGUUAUUAGGGAAGAACAUAUGUGUAAGUAACUGUGCACAUCUUGACGGUACCGAAUCAGAAAGCCACGGCUAACUACGUG
rnacentral:rRNA from 1 species